CCAGACUCCUACGGGAGGCAGCAGUAGGGAAUUUUGCGCAAUGGACGAAAGUCUGACGCAGCGACGCCGCGUGAGGGAUGACGGNCUUCGGGUUGUAAACCUCUGUUGAGUGGGACGAAAACUCGUAUGGUUAAUACCCCUGCGAACUGACGGUACCACUCGAGGAAGCUCCGGCUAACUACGUGCCAGCAGCCGCGGUAAUACGUAGGGAGCAAGCGUUGUUCGGAAUCACUGAGCGUAAAGGGAAUGUAAGCGGAACAGUCAGUUAGGAGUGAAAUACACAGGCUUAACCUGUGGCCCGCUCUUAAUACUGCUUUUCUUGAGUAUGGGAGAGGAAGAUGGAAUUCCAGGUGUAGCGGUGGAAUGCGUAGAUAUCUGGAAGAACACCAGUAGCGAAGGCGGUCUUCUGGCCCAAUACUGACGCUGAGGCUCGAAAGCUAGGGGAGCAAACAGGAUUAGAUACCCUGGUAGUCCUAGCCGUAAACGAUGGACACUAGUUGUCGGGGGAGUCAAUCCCUUCGGUGACGAAGCUAACGCAUUAAGUGUCCCGCCUGGGGAGUACGCUCGCAAGGGUGAAACUCAAAGGAAUUGACGGGGGCCCGCACAAGCGGUGGAGCAUGUGCUUUAAUUCGAUGCAACGCGAAGAACCUUACCUGGGUUUGACAUGGGGGUGAAAGUAACCAGAGAUGGAUACCUUUCCUUCGGGAACACCCUACACAGGUGCUGCGUGGUUGUCGUCAGCUCGUGUCGUGAGAUGUUGGGUUAAGUCCCGCAACGAGCGCAACCCCUACCCUUAGUUGCCAGCGGGUUAUGCCGGGAACUCUAGGCGGCCUCCCUGGACUAACCAGGAGGAAGGUGGGGAUGACGGCGACCCACCACCGCCCUUACGCCCAGGGCUAGACACGUGCUACAAUGGCCGGUACAAUAGGCUGCGAACUCGCGAGAGUAAGCUAAUCCGAUAAAACCGGCCUCAGUUCGGAUUGGAGUCUGCAACUCGACUCCAUGAAGGUGGAAUCGCUAGUAAUCGCGGAUCAGCAUGCCGCGGUGAUACGUUCCCGGGCCUUGUACACACCGCCCGUCAAGCCAUGAAAGACGGUAGUGCCCGAAGUCGUUCCCCUAACCCUCGGGAAGGGUGCGCCGAAG
rnacentral:rRNA from 1 species